AGCCCUCAAUAUUUCAAGGAUCAAGUAUGUAACACCUCUAAAGUAGUUUUCGAAAAUGGAUCCUUUUAUUAUUAUUAUUUUUUUUUUUUUGCUUAUUAUUUGUUAAAGUAUAAUCUUUCACCUUGUACUCUUUGCCAAACAAUUGAAAAAAAAAUUGAAAGAUCCACUCCCGUAGUUUUGUCCCAAGACCAGACAUCAUGCUUGUGAUACCCUAUAAUCCAUGACGAAAUGUAAGCCACACCUUUAUCAAAAAAAAUGAAAUUGCGAAAGAAAAAAAGAUCAUGCUAUUAUCUAUAAUUUAUGAUUAUUACUUUCGCUGAAUGUUUUCCUCAGACUCAAAUUAUACAGUACAAGCAACGUGCCUCUCAUAAUUUUCCUAAGAUCCAACGCCAUGGCAAGAAAAAUAAUAUAUAAAAAAAUGAAAUAAAAUGAAAUCUGCUCUAUACUUAGUAUGAGUGAUAAUGGAGAACUU